CUCAAAAGAAAAGCCUGGAAUAGUGAUAGACUUCCUCCAGCUAUGCCAAAUGCUGCAAGUUCCCCCAGCCUUCUGACAAAACAAUCAGGAGCAACCUUUGUGAUACUCUGCAAAUGUGACAACAACCAUGAC